AGCGAACGCUGGCGGCAGGCCUAACACAUGCAAGUCGAACGGGCGCAGCAAUGCGUCAGUGGCAGACGGGUGAGUAACACGUGGGAACGUACCCUUCGGUUCGGAAUAACUCAGGGAAACUUGAGCUAAUACCGGAUACGUCCGAGAGGAGAAAGAUUUAUCGCCGAAGGAUCGGCCCGCGUCUGAUUAGCUUGUUGGUGAGGUAACGGCCCACCAAGGCGACGAUCAGGAGCUGGUCUGAGAGGAUGAUCAGCCACAUUGGGACUGAGACACGGCGCGAACUCCUACGGGAGGCGGCAGUGGGGAAUAUUGGAAAAUGGGCGAAAGCCUGAUCCAGCCAUGCCGCGUGGGUGAUGACGGCCUUAGGGUUGUAAAGCUCUUUCGACGGGGACGAUAAUGACGGUACCCGUAGAAGAAGCCCCGGCUAACUUCGUGCCAGCCGCCGCGGUAAGAC
rnacentral:rRNA from 1 species